UACAGAGGGUGCGAGCGUUGUUCGGAAUUAUUGGGCGUAAAGCGCUUGUAGGCGGCCUGUCAAGUCGCGUGUGAAAUCCCCUGGCUUAACCAGGGAAGUGCGCGCGAAACUGAAGGGCUUGAGUGCCGGAGAGGGUCGCGGAAUUCCCGGUGUAGAGGUGAAAUUCGUAGAUAUCGGGAGGAACACCAGUGGCGAAGGCGGCGACCUGGACGGACACUGACGCUGAGACGCGAAAGCGUGGGGAGCAAAACGGG
rnacentral:rRNA from 1 species